rnacentral:rRNA from 1 species
GCACAAGCGGUGAUGAUGUGGUUUAAUUCGAUGCAACGCGAAAACCUUACCCACCUUUGACAUGGCAGGAAUCCUGGAGAGAUUUGGGAGUGCUCGAAAGAGAACCUGCACACAGGUGCUGCAUGGCUGUCGUCAGCUCGUGUCGUGAGAUGUUGGGUUAAGUCCCGCAACGAGCGCAACCCUUGCCAUUAGUUGCUACGAAAGGGCACUCUAAUGGGACUGCCGGUGACAAACCGGAGGAAGGUGGGGAUGACGUCAAGUCCUCAUGGCCCUUAUAGGUGGGGCUACACACGUCAUACAAUGGCCGGUACAGAGGGUAGCCAACCCGCGAGGGGGAGCCAAUCCCACAAAGCCGGUCGUAGUCCGGAUCGCAGUCUGCAACUCGACUGCGUGAAGUCGGAAUCGCUAGUAAUCGCGGAUCAGCAUGUCGCGGUGAAUACGUUCCCGGGUCUU